rnacentral:ncRNA from 6 species
GUGAUCAGUAUUAGAGAGAAUAGAGCGUUAAGACUCUAUCGCCGAAGGUGCAAGUAAUUUAUUACGAAACUCUCAGGCAAAAGGAUAAUACUGUAACG